UCACUGUUUUGAAGGAAUUGCUGGUUAU
rnacentral:piRNA from 1 species